rnacentral:rRNA from 1 species
GAGUUUGAUCAUGGCUCAGGAUGAACGCUGGCGGCGUGCCUAAUACAUGCAAGUCGAGCGAACGGACGAGAAGCUUGCUUCUCUGAUGUUAGCGGCGGACGGGUGAGUAACACGUGGAUAACCUACCUAUAAGACUGGGAUAACUUCGGGAAACCGGAGCUAAUACCGGAUAAUAUUUUGAACCGCAUGGUUCAAAAGUGAAAGACGGUCUUGCUGUCACUUAUAGAUGGAUCCGCGCUGCAUUAGCUAGUUGGUAAGGUAACGGCUUACCAAGGCAACGAUGCAUAGCCGACCUGAGAGGGUGAUCGGCCACACUGGAACUGAGACACGGUCCAGACUCCUACGGGAGGCAGCAGUAGGGAAUCUUCCGCAAUGGGCGAAAGCCUGACGGAGCAACGCCGCGUGAGUGAUGAAGGUCUUCGGAUCGUAAAACUCUGUUAUUAGGGAAGAACAUAUGUGUAAGUAACUGUGCACAUCUUGACGGUACCUAAUCAGAAAGCCACGGCUAACU